rnacentral:lncRNA from 1 species
UUAUUUACUCUGAGGUUCUCGCGGCAAGACCCAAAUGGACAGUGAUUUGGCUGCCAGCUGGUGUUAAAAACAAGCCAACUCCAAGAAAGUUAUGGAUUACCUCUAAGUGAGAAAAAGGAAGCAUUAGAACAACAAAGAAAAGAACAAAAGACUCAAGUUCUCCAGCCCCCAAACUAAAGUUUAAGGAGAUUUCAUAACCUGGACAAGAUCACCAAGUAAAUGAAUUAUUCCAUCUUUAUGAAGGCAACACUGAUCUCCACGAGCACAAUCAUCCAAACGGAGAUGGGAACCCCUGUUCUAACUCUCUCAGAGGCCUGAAGUUAGUUUUCU